rnacentral:rRNA from 1 species
GCAGUAAUGUAUGGAGCGGACUGAUACUAAUAGGCCGAGGGCUUGACCUA